UAUCUCUGUAGAGUCUGCAUAUCAAUAAGCGGAGGAAAAGAAACUAACUAGGAUUCCCUCAGUAACGGCGAGUGAAGCGGGAAGAGCUCAAAUUUGAAAUCUUCAAGGUUUCUACCUUGACGAAUUGUAGUUUAAAGAAGUGUUUUCUGUUGGAGUUUUGGUAAAAGUUCUUUGGAAUAGGACAUCAUAGAGGGUGAGAAUCCCGUAUUUGACCAUUAUUUCCAGCUUUGUGAUACACUUUCAAAGAGUCGGAUUGUUUGGGAAUGCAGUCCAAAAUGGGUGGUAAAUUUCAUCUAAAGCUAAAUAUUGGCGAGAGACCGAUAGCGAACAAGUACCGUGAGGGAAAGAUGAAAAGAACUUUGAAAAGAGAGUUAAACAGUACGUGAAAUUGUCAAAAGGGAAGCGUUUGACACCAGUGUUGUUUUCUCGAAAAUCAAUUAAAAAAGGCAGGAUUUUGUGUUGUAUUGACUUUAUCAGCUUACUGUACUCUUUUCUUGCUUUUUUUAAUGCACUUUUCGUUUAACAAGUCAACAUCAAUUUCUUUUGUUGUAAAAGAGUCAUUGGAAGGUGGCUUUCACUUCGGUGAAAGUGUUUAUAGCCUUUGGCUUCUGCAAUCGGAGAGAUUGAGGUCUGCAGCGUAGAUCCUUCGGGGUUAGAUACAUUUGUGCUAAGUUAUAGCCUUUCAUAGACAACUUGUUGACUAUGAUCAGUCAUGUAGCUUACUCGCUUAUGCUAUUUUACCUACGCUUAGGAUGUUGACGAUCAGCUGAGCGCG
rnacentral:rRNA from 1 species